rnacentral:rRNA from 1 species
GACAGAGGAUGCAAGCGUUAUCCGGAAUGAUUGGGCGUAAAGCGUCUGUAGGUGGCUUUUUAAGUCCGCCGUCAAAUCCCAGGGCUCAACCCUGGACAGGCGGUGGAAACUACCAAGCUGGAGUACGGUAGGGGCAGAGGGAAUUUCCGGUGGAGCAGUGAAAGUGCGUAGAGAUCGGAAAAGAGCACCAACGGCGAAAGCACUCUGCUGGGCCGACACUGACACUGAGAGACGAAAGCUAGGGGAGCGAAUGGGA